UGCCACAAAAAUCACUGGCUUACUUUGGAC
rnacentral:piRNA from 1 species